rnacentral:rRNA from 1 species
GGCGGCAGCUACACAUGCAGUCGAGCGGUAGCACAGAGAGCUUGCUCUCGGGUGACGAGCGGCGGACGGGUGAGUAAUGUCUGGGAAACUGCCUGAUGGAGGGGGAUAACUACUGGAAACGGUAGCUAAUACCGCAUAACGUCGCAAGACCAAAGUGGGGGACCUUCGGGCCUCAUGCCAUCAGAUGUGCCCAGAUGGGAUUAGCUAGUAGGUGGGGUAAUGGCUCACCUAGGCGACGAUCCCUAGCUGGUCUGAGAGGAUGACCAGCCACACUGGAACUGAGACACGGUCCAGACUCCUACGGGAGGCAGCAGUGGGGAAUAUUGCACAAUGGGCGCAAGCCUGAUGCAGCCAUGCCGCGUGUAUGAAGAAGGCCUUCGGGUUGUAAAGUACUUUCAGCGAGGAGGAAGGCGUUAAGGUUAAUAACCUUGGCGAUUGACGUUACUCGCAGAAGAAGCACCGGCUAACUCCGUGCCAGCAGCCGCGGUAAUACGGAGGGUGCAAGCGUUAAUCGGAAUUACUGGGCGUAAAGCGCACGCAGGCGGUCUGUCAAGUCGGAUGUGAAAUCCCCGGGCUCAACCUGGGAACUGCAUUCGAAACUGGCAGGCUAGAGUCUUGUAGAGGGGGGUAGAAUUCCAGGUGUAGCGGUGAAAUGCGUAGAGAUCUGGAGGAAUACCGGUGGCGAAGGCGGCCCCCUGGACAAAGACUGACGCUCAGGUGCGAAAGCGUGGGGAGCAAACAGGAUUAGAUACCCUGGUAGUCCACGCCGUAAACGAUGUCGACUUGGAGGUUGUGCCCUUGAGGCGUGGCUUCCGGAGCUAACGCGUUAAGUCGACCGCCUGGGGAGUACGGCCGCAAGGUUAAAACUCAAAUGAAUUGACGGGGGCCCGCACAAGCGGUGGAGCAUGUGGUUUAAUUCGAUGCAACGCGAAGAACCUUACCUACUCUUGACAUCCAGAGAACUUAGCAGAGAUGCUUUGGUGCCUUCGGGAACUCUGAGACAGGUGCUGCAUGGCUGUCGUCAGCUCGUGUUGUGAAAUGUUGGGUUAAGUCCCGCAACGAGCGCAACCCUUAUCCUUUGUUGCCAGCGGUCCGGCCGGGAACUCAAAGGAGACUGCCAGUGAUAAACUGGAGGAAGGUGGGGAUGACGUCAAGUCAUCAUGGCCCUUACGAGUAGGGCUACACACGUGCUACAAUGGCAUAUACAAAGAGAAGCGACCUCGCGAGAGCAAGCGGACCUCAUAAAGUAUGUCGUAGUCCGGAUUGGAGUCUGCAACUCGACUCCAUGAAGUCGGAAUCGCUAGUAAUCGUAGAUCAGAAUGCUACGGUGAAUACGUUCCCGGGCCUUGUACACACCGCCCGUCACACCAUGGGAGUGGGUUGCAAAAGAAGUAGGUAGCUUAACCUUCGGGAGGGCGCUACCACUGAUCUUUG